rnacentral:rRNA from 1 species
AACGAACGCUGGCGGCAUGCCUAACACAUGCAAGUCGAACGGGAUCCUAGCUUGCUAGGUGAGAGUGGCGGACGGGUGAGUAACACGUGGGAACCUGCCUUUUGGUUCGGGAUAACCGCGGGAAACUGCGGCUAAUACCGGAUGCUCCCGAGAGGGGAAAGAUUUAUCGCCAGAAGAGGGGCCCGCGUCCGAUUAGGUAGUUGGUGGGGUAAAGGCCUACCAAGCCGACGAUCGGUAGCUGGUCUGAGAGGAUGAUCAGCCACACUGGGACUGAGAUACGGCCCAGCCUCCUACGGGAGGCAGCAGUGGGGAAUAUUGGACAAUGGGGGCAACCCUGAUCCAGCAAUGCCGCGUGAGUGAUGAAGGCCUUAGGGUUGUAACGCUCUUUUGCCAGGGAAGAUGAUGACUGUACCUGGAGAAUAAGCCCCGGCUAACUUCGUGCCAGCCGCCGCCGUAACAC